rfam:Erinaceus europaeus unplaced genomic scaffold scaffold00648, whole genome shotgun sequence
AUACUUACUGGCAGAGGAGAUAACAUGAUCUCAAAGGUGGUUUUCCCAGGGCAAAACUUACCUUUUGCACUCCAGAUGUGUUAACCUCUGUGAUUCUGUGAUUACCUCAAACGUGGGAAACUUGACUGAAUAAUUUGUGUUAAUGGGGGACUGUGUUUGUGCUACCCCCCC